rnacentral:rRNA from 1 species
GGGAAGUCUUACNUGGCAGUCGACGAGCUUGCCUAGAUGAUUUUAGUGCUUGCACUAAAUGAAACUAGAUACAAGCGAGCGGCGGACGGGUGAGUAACACGUGGGUAACCUGCCCAAGAGACUGGGAUAACACCUGGAAACAGAUGCUAAUACCGGAUAACAACACUAGACGCAUGUCUAGAGUUUGAAAGAUGGUUCUGCUAUCACUCUUGGAUGGACCUGCGGUGCAUUAGCUAGUUGGUAAGGUAACGGCUUACCAAGGCAAUGAUGCAUAGCCGAGUUGAGAGACUGAUCGGCCACAUUGGGACUGAGACACGGCCCAAACUCCUACGGGAGGCAGCAGUAGGGAAUCUUCCACAAUGGACGAAAGUCUGAUGGAGCAACGCCGCGUGAGUGAAGAAGGGUUUCGGCUCGUAAAGCUCUGUUGGUAGUGAAGAAAGAUAGAGGUAGUAACUGGCCUUUAUUUGACGGUAAUUACUUAGAAAGUCACGGCUAACUACGUGCCAGCAGCCGCGGUAAUACGUAGGUGGCAAGCGUUGUCCGGAUUUAUUGGGCGUAAAGCGAGUGCAGGCGGUUCAAUAAGUCUGAUGUGAAAGCCUUCGGCUCAACCGGAGAAUUGUAUCAGAAACUGUUGAACUUGAGUGCAGAAGAGGAGAGUGGAACUCCAUGUGUAGCGGUGGAAUGCGUAGAUAUAUGGAAGAACACCAGUGGCGAAGGCGGCUCUCUGGUCUGCAACUGACGCUGAGGCUC